rnacentral:rRNA from 1 species
CAGCUCGUGUUGUGAAAUGUUGGGUUAAGUCCCGCAACGAGCGCAACCCUUAUCCUUUGUUGCCAGCGGUUCGGCCGGGAACUCAAAGGAGACUGCCAGUGAUAAACUGGAGGAAGGUGGGGAUGACGUCAAGUCAUCAUGGCCCUUACGAGUAGGGCUACACACGUGCUACAAUGGCGUAUACAAAGAGAAGCGACCUCGCGAGAGCAAGCGGACCUCAUAAAGUACGUCGUAGUCCGGAUUGGAGUCUGCAACUCGACUCCAUGAAGUCGGAAUCGCUAGUAAUCGUAGAUCAGAAUGCUACGGUGAAUACGUUCCCGGGCCUUGUACACACCGCCCGUCACACCAUGGGAGUGGGUUGCAAAAGAAGUAGGUAGCUUAACCUUCGGGAGGGCGCUUACCACUUUGUGAUUCAUGACUGGGGUGAAGUCGUAACAAGGUAACCA